rnacentral:rRNA from 1 species
GACGAACGCUGGCGGCGUGCUUAACACAUGCAAGUCGAACGGCAAGGCCCUGCGUUCUUGGGCUUCCGGGUUGCGGAAGGGGGGCGUAACACGUGUGUAACCUGCCCUUGUUUUUGGGAGAACUUCAGGAAGCUGAGGUUAAUCCCGUACAGCAGCCCCCCUUGCAUGGAGGGGGUGGGAAAGUCUCGGCGGUUGGGGUUGGAUGAGCGGCUUAUCAGCUUGUUGGUGGGGUAGGGGCUUACCAAGGCUUUGACGGGUAGCCGGCCUGAGAGGGUGACCGGCCACAUUGGGACUGAGAUACGGCCCAGACUCCUACGGGAGGCAGCAGUGGGGAAUAUUGCACAAUGGGCGGAAGCCUGAUGCAGCAACGCCGCGUGCGGGAUGACGGCCUUCGGGUUGUAAACCGCUUUCGCCUGUGACGAAGCGUGAGUGACGGUAAUGGGUAAAGAAGCACCGGCUAACUACGUG